AGUGGUGUAGAGCAGCCCGGUAGCUCAUCAGGCUCAUAACCUGAAGGCCGCAGGUUCAAAUCCUGCCACCGCAACCA
rnacentral:tRNA from 1 species